GGGAGGGUGAAGCUGGUCCCCUGGCUGGUGGGGCUCAGGUGACCACAGACCUGUGUGCAGGUUCUUGGCAUGUCUGGUGCACAGUUCAGGAGUGGGCUGGGAGCUCAUCCUUUCCACCUCUCAGCUGGACGUGCUGGGUCCCCGAUGGCUGUGGCCUGGAACCUGCUCCACAGUGAACUGGGCGGGUACCAGGGUCUGCCGGCCUCUUGCACCCUCCAUCCAGCUGUCUGGCCUUUGUGUG
rnacentral:lncRNA from 1 species